UAAUAGCUCUCUCUCUCUCUCACACACACACCCACACACAAUUUCUUUCAUGUGCUAAUAAUAGCAUGCAAGGCUCAGAUGGGUUUGGUUAAGAUUGUCACAUCACAUGGGACUUUGCUUGCUCUGCGCCAACUGAUCAACAGAUCCACUGGAUAGAAGAUUGAUGAUGAGGUACUAUUGUAAUCUAAUAAUAAGUUGGGAGGAUAUAUUCAUAUUCUUAUGGCAAAAAGGAAGGAUAUAUUCAUAUUAUCAGUACCAUGGAGACCUGAAACGCUUCAAUUGCUAGCUUCUCUAUCAGCUCCCGACUCGUCUCAUAUACGAUUUGGUUUUGCAGACCUAUGCAUUUAGAAAAAUAAAAAAUAAAAUAAAAUCAGACAACAAAGGAAGAAGAGAGAGAGAGAGAGAGAGAGAGAGACGGACUGGAGACAACGUGGACGAGGUGGAUGGUGUCAGCGAGGCGGCAGAAGUGAAGGAUGGCCCAGUGGAAGGCGUGCUUGCUGUUGGGGCCGUGAUCUAUGGCGAUGAGUAUGUCUCUUCCUCUCCUUCUCUCUCCUGUCUCCCUCUCCAACUCUGGCUCUUGUACUAUUGGUAUCAGCGCCGGCAGCUUCACCUCCCUCCAGCUGUACUCCUCUUCAUCCUCCAUCAACGUCUCCAUCUCUCUCACAGGCGCUCUCCUCUGUUUCUUUUCCGAAUGAAGAGGUGCCUGCCCUUUUCCUUGUUUCUGCUUUUGCUUAUGUUACUUUUUCUUAAUUGACCUUGUUUCCCAACAAUAAGAAAAAAGAAAAGAAAAGAA